UCAGGCUGUCCAGUAACAUGCUAUACAUCAGGUCAGGCUGUCCAGUAACAUGCUAUACAUCAGGACAGGCUGUCCAGUAACAUGCUAUACAUCAGGUCAGGCUGUCCAGUAACAUGCUAUACAUCAGGUCAGGCUGUCCAGUAACAUGCUAUACAUCAGGUCAGGCUGUCCAGUAACAUGCUAUACAUCAGGUCAGGCUGUCCAGUAAUACAUCAGGUCAGGCUGUCCAGUAAUACAUCAGGUCAGGCUGUCCAGUAACAUGCUAUACAUCAGGUCAGGCUGUCCAGUAACAUGCUAUACAUCAGGUCAGGCUGUCCAGUAACAUGCUAUACAUCAGGUCAGGCUGUCCAGUAACAUGCUAUACAUCAGGUCAGGCUGUCCAGUAAUACAUCAGGUCAGGCUGUCCAGUAACAUGCUAUACAUCAGGUCAGGCUGUCCAGUAAUACAUCAGGUCAGGCUGUCCAGUAACAUGCUAUACAUCAGGUCAGGCUGUCCAGUAAUACAUCAGGUCAGGCUGUCCAGUAAUACAUCAGGUCAGGCUGUCCAGUAAUACAUCAGGUCAGGCUGUCCAGUAACAUGCUAUACAUCAGGUCAGGCUGUCCAGUAACAUGCUAUACAUCAGGUCAGGCUGUCCAGUAAUACAUCAGGUCAGGCUGUCCAGUAACAUGCUAUACAUCAGGUCAGGCUGUCCAGUAACAUGCUAUACAUCAGGUCAGGCUGUCCAGUAAUACAUCAGGUCAGGCUGUCCAGUAAUACAUCAGGUCAGGCUGUCCAGUAAUACAUCAGGUCAGGCUGUCCAGUAACAUGCUAUACAUCAGGUCAGGCUGUCCAGUAACAUGCUAUACAUCAGGUCAGGCUGUCCAGUAACAUGCUAUACAUCAGGUCAGGCUGUCCAGUAACAUGCUAUACAUCAGGUCAGGCUGUCCAGUAACAUGCUAUACAUCAGGUCAGGCUGUCCAGUAAUACAUCAGGUCAGGCUGUCCAGUAAUACAUCAGGUCAGGCUGUCCAGUAAUACAUCAGGUCAGGCUGUCCAGUAAUACAUCAGGUCAGGCUGUCCAGUAAUACAUCAGGUCAGGCUGUCCAGUAACAUGCUAUACAUCAGGUCAGGCUGUCCAGUAAUACAUCAGGUCAGGCUGUCCAGUAAUACAUCAGGUCAGGCUGUCCAGUAACAUGCUAUACAUCAGGUCAGGCUGUCCAGUAAUACAUCAGGUCAGGCUGUCCAGUAAUACAUCAGGUCAGGCUGUCCAGUAAUACAUCAGGUCAGGCUGUCCAGUAACA